CGGCAGUCCCCCGCCCCCCAGGCUGGUAGGGCCCCACAGCUGCAGACAGACAGCUGGCAGCUGGCGAGGCCAUACAUCCUUCCGUUACUGAAUACAGAAUUCACUGCUGGAACCAGGACAAACAAAUGGAGAGAGGAGGGGAAGACAGAGAGGGGAAGAGAAAGACAGACACCUGCAGACCUGCUUCACCACCUGUGAAGCAACUCCCCUGUAGGUGGGGUCCCUCUCUUUCUCUCUCUCUCUCUCUCUUUUUUUUUUUUUUUUUUUAACUUCCAGGGUUAUUGCUGGGGCUCUGAAUCCACUGCUCCUGGAGGCAAUUUUUUUCCUUUUAUUGCCCUUGUUGUUUUAUCAUUGUUGUGGUUGUUAUUGUUGUUGUUGAUGAUGUCGUUGUUGUUGGAUAGGAUAGAGAGAAAUGGGGAGAGGAGGGUAUACGGGGGUAGAGAAAAAGAUAGACACCUGCAGACCUGCUUCACCACUUGUGAAGCGACCUCCCUGCAGGUAGGGGGCCAGGGGCUUGAACCGGGAUCCUUAUGCUGGUCUUUGCUCUUUGUGCCAUGUGCGCUUAACCCUCUGUGCUACCACCUGACUCCCUCUUCACUCUCUUUUUAAAAGAUUGAUUU